AUCUCUAAUGUUGGACAACAAGUCUACCCGUUCUAGUAGUUGUACUAUAGAGGUGGUGGUGAUAAAGUAGGGAGGGUAACCACGAACCUCAUAAGGAGCCCAGUCGUAGCCUUGUACUGCUGGAGGUGGAGUUAUAUCGGUCCACACGAGAGAGUUGUCCACAUUGAAUUCAAUAUCUUCGUAAGCAAUCUCUCGCUGAUCGGGAGAGCUGGAGGAGCUUGCGGUUGAGGACCCGGACAACGACGACGAAGCUACC
rnacentral:lncRNA from 1 species